rnacentral:rRNA from 1 species
GAUGAACGCUGGCGGCGUGCCUAAUACAUGCAAGUCGAGCGAACGGACGAGAAGCUUGCUUCUCUGAUGUUAGCGGCGGACGGGUGAGUAACACGUGGAUAACCUACCUAUAAGACUGGGAUAACUUCGGGAAACCGGAGCUAAUACCGGAUGAUAUUUUGAACCGCAUGGUUCAAAAGUGAAAGACGGUCUUGCUGUCACUUAUAGAUGGAUCCGCGCUGCAUUAGCUAGUUGGUAAGGUAACGGCUUACCAAGGAAACGAUGCAUAGCCGACCUGAGAGGGUGAUCGGCCACACUGGAACUGAGACACGGUCCAGACUCCUACGGGAGGCAGCAGUGGGGAAUCUUCCGCAAUGGGCGAAAGCCUGACGGAGCAACGCCGCGUGAGUGAUGAAGGUCUUCGGAUCGUAAAACUCUGUUAUUAGGGAAGAACAUAUGUGUAAGUAACUGUGCACAUCUUGACGGUACCUAAUCAGAAAGCCACGGCUAACUACGUG